rnacentral:rRNA from 1 species
UGGAUCCAGACUUUGAUCAUGGCUCAGGAUGAACGCUAGCUACAGGCUUAACACAUGUAAGUCGAGGGGCAGCAUGGUCUUAGCUUGCUAAGGCCGAUGGCGACCGGCGCACGGGUGAGUAACACGUAUCCAACCUGCCGUCUACUCUUGGACAGCCUUCUGAAAGGAAGAUUAAUACAAGAUGGCAUCAUGAGUCCGCAUGUUCACAUGAUUAAAGGUAUUCCGGUAGACGAUGGGGAUGCGUUCCAUUAGAUAGUAGGCGGGGUAACGGCCCACCUAGUCUUCGAUGGAUAGGGGUUCUGAGAGGAAGGUCCCCCACAUUGGAACUGAGACACGGUCCAAACUCCUACGGGAGGCAGCAGUGAGGAAUAUUGGUCAAUGGGCGAGAGCCUGAACCAGCCAAGUAGCGUGAAGGAUGACUGCCCUAUGGGUUGUAAACUUCUUUUAUAAAGGAAUAAAGUCGGGUAUGGAUACCCGUUUGCAUGUACUUUAUGAAUAAGGAUCGGCUAACUCCGUGCCAGCAGCCGCGGUAAUACGGAGGAUCCGAGCGUUAUCCGGAUUUAUUGGGUUUAAAGGGAGCGUAGAUGGAUGUUUAAGUCAGUUGUGAAAGUUUGCGGCUCAACCGUAAAAUUGCAGUUGAUACUGGAUAUCUUGAGUGCAGUUGAGGCAGGCGGAAUUCGUGGUGUAGCGGUGAAAUGCUUAGAUAUCACGAAGAACUCCGAUUGCGAAGGCAGCCUGCUAAGCUGCAACUGACAUUGAGGCUCGAAAGUGUGGGUAUCAAACAGGAUUAGAUACCCUGGUAGUCCACACGGUAAACGAUGAAUACUCGCUGUUUGCGAUAUACAGCAAGCGGCCAAGCGAAAGCGUUAAGUAUUCCACCUGGGGAGUACGCCGGCAACGGUGCAACUCAAAUGAAUUGACGGA